rnacentral:rRNA from 1 species
AACGCGAAGAACCUUACCUAGGCUUGACAGUUGGGGAAAUCUGGCAGAGAUGUCAGGUCCGCAAGGGCCCCAAAACAGGUGGUGCAUGGCUGUCGUCAGCUCGUGUCGUGAGAUGUUGGGUUAAGUCCCGCAACGAGCGCAACCCUCGCCCUUAGUUGCCAUCAUUCAGUUGGGCACUCUAGGGGGACUGCCGGUGAUAAGCCGCGAGGAAGGUGGGGAUGACGUCAAGUCCUCAUGGCCCUUACAGGCUGGGCUACACACGUGCUACAAUGGCGGUGACAAUGGGAAGCGAAAGGGUGACCUGGAGCAAAUCUCAAAACGCCGUCUCAGUUCGGAUUGCACUCUGCAACUCGAGUGCAUGAAGUUGGAAUCGCUAGUAAUCGCGGAUCAGCACGCCGCGGUGAAUACGUUAGGGUCUUGUACACACCG